rnacentral:rRNA from 1 species
UAAGCCAUGCGAGUCUUUGUAGUAAUACAAGGCAGACGGCUCAGUAACACGUAGUCAACCUACCCUAUGGACAAGAAUAAUCUCGGGAAACUGGGCAUAAUUCUUGAUAGAUCAUAAUGCCUGGAAUGGUUUAUGGUUAAAAUGAUUCGUCGCCAUAGGAUGGGACUGCGGCCUAUCAGCUUGUUGGUGAGGUAAUGGCCCACCAAGGCGAUUACAGGUACGGGCUCUGAGAGGAGAAGCCCGGAGAUGGGUACUGAGACACGGACCCAGGCCCCAUGGGGCGCAGCAGGCGAGAAAACUUUGCAAUGUGCGAAAGCACGACAAGGUUAAUCCGAGUGAUUUCUGCUAAAGAAAUCUUUUGCCAGUCAUAAAACCACUGGUGAAUAAGGGGUGGGCAAGUUCUGGUGUCAGCCGCCGCGGUAAAACCAGCACCUCAAGUGGUCAGGAUGAUUAUUGGGCCUAAAGCAUCCGUAGCCGGCUUUGUUAGUUUUCGGUUAAAUCCAUGUGCUCAACGCAUGGGCUGCCGAAAAUACUGCAUAGCUAGGGAGUGGGAGAGGUAGACGGUACUCAGUAGGAAGGGGUAAAAUCCUUUGAUCUAUUGAUGACCACCUGUGGCGAAGGCGGUCUACCAGAACACGUUCGACGGUGAGGGAUGAAAGCUGGGGGAGCAAACCGGAUUAGAUACCCGGGUAGUCCCAGCUGUAAACGAUGCAGACUCGAUGAUGCAUUGGCAUAAUAGCCAUUGCAGUGUCGCAGGGAAGCCGUUAAGUCUGCCGCCUGGGAAGUACGUACGCAAGUAUGAAACUUAAAGGAAUUGGCGGGGGAGCACCACAAGGGGUGAAGCCUGCGGUUCAAU